rnacentral:misc_RNA from 1 species
UCAAACUUGGUCAUUUAGAGGAAGUAAAAGUCGUAACAAGGUUUCCGUAGGUGAACCUGCGGAAGGAUCAUUAACGCAUCUUCUGGCGGAGGCGGAUGGACCCAGCUCCGAACCCCCAAAAGGGUUCGUGUCAGCGGGCUCGCCGUCGCCGUCCAAACCUUUGCAAACCCAACUGUGCACCUUUGCGGUGGAGGGCUGGCAACGGCCCGACGCCGCUUCACUAAACACUAGUCAACGAAUGUUCAUGCGACGCUCUGCGUUGCCUAAUAAACUUGACAACUUUCAACAACGGAUCUCUUGGCUCUCGCAUCGAUGAAGAACGCAGC